rnacentral:rRNA from 1 species
GACGAACGCUGGCGGCGUGCUUAACACAUGCAAGUCGAACGAUUUAGUCGUCGGUCAUCAGACGUCAGACGUCAGGGGAACGAAUGGAACUGAAGAAAGAACUCGCUUUAGCGAAAUCUAUUCCGAAACCCUUACGACCGAUGUCCGAUGACUGACGACCGAAUAGUGGCGGACGGGUGAGUAACGCGUGGGCAACCUACCCAUAAGAGGGGGAUAACAGCUGGAAACGGCUGCUAAUACCGCAUAAGCUUUUUAGGACACAUGUUUUAGAAAGUAAAGGAGGCUUUAGCUUCCGCUUAUGGAUGGGCCCGCGUCUGAUUAGCUAGUUGGUAGGGUAACGGCCUACCAAGGCAACGAUCAGUAGCCGGCCUGAGAGGGUGGACGGCCACACUGGGACUGAGACACGGCCCAGACUCCUACGGGAGGCAGCAGUGGGGAAUAUUGCGCAAUGGGGGAAACCCUGACGCAGCGACGCCGCGUGAGCGAAGAAGGCUCGGUGUAAGCUCUGUGUAGGA